GUUCGGAAUUACUGGGCGUAAAGGGCUCGUAGGUCGCCAACUAAGUCAGACGUGAAAUCCCUCAGCUUAACUGGGGAACUGCGUCUGAUACUGGAUGGCUUGAGUUUGGGAGAGGGAUGCGGAAUUCCAGGUGUAGCGGUGAAAUGCGUAGAUAUCUGGAGGAACACCGGUGGCGAAGGCGGCAUCCUGGACCAACACUGACACUGAGGAGCGAAAGCCAGGGGAGCAAACGGG
rnacentral:rRNA from 1 species